ACUUCACCCAACAUUCUCGAAGCACUUAGAAGAGCAUCACUGCCACACUGGAACCCACCGUAUCACACAAAACAAGAAAACUUAAAAACACAUGUAGACAUGAACACGAGAAACAAAAGAUCAGGUUCCGUACCAUCAAUGAAUCAAGGGUUCCUACACAAUCCAGCAGCCGCAACAACAGGUAACAAUAUAUCACUUCUAAGCUUUUCACCAUAAAAACAGAGUAAUUGGUGGUUGCUACAACAUACCUUUAUCAAUAAUAGUGUCAAAG